GCUAAGCCUUUGGCUUAAGUUUUCAUUUGCUUGUUUUAUAGUGUCAAGAGUCAUGAUAAGCGAUGUCAAACUGACUGAAUUAAAAUAGCGCGCUUCCGCUUUAAAUAACGGCUUGCGCUUUCGCUUCAAUGACAGAAAGGGCCGCAACGUAAAUCUCUUUUGGCUGUUUUAAGCCUCAUUUAAUGUCUUUUUACUCCAAUUGAGGUGUUUACAGUACACAGAUCGUGAUAUAAGUUUUGCAGAUUCUUUUAUGAUGUAAGGUGAACAGCCGUAUCCUUAAACUACCUCCUCUGGGAAUCACAGGGUCAGGACGACACAGAAGCACACAGAGAUCUCAGCGCUGCAGUCUAUAGACUGGUUGCCAUGGUGCAGAGAGAAAUGCUGGCCUGGUCCGGUUGCCCUGGCGACGAGCUGGGAGGCAGCGAGCAGCCCUGGCAGGGGAAUGGACAGCACCGGAUCCAGAGCCCACAGCGAAAGAAAAACCCUCUCUUUGCCAGGCUCCACUAAACCCAUUCUGCCUGGCACAAUGCGGGCUGACGGAGACCAUUCUGCUCCUUAUAAAUGGUGAGGAAGCGCGACUGGAGAGCGCUCGAGACGGGCCAUUCAUUUUCACACACACCUCGGGUCUGAGAUGCACUUAAGGUGUCAGUUUAGAGGAGGUAAACAACAACGCCUCGAUGUGUGGACCGCUUGUUGUGGUGUCUACCGAUGUUGUAAACAGCAUGAGAAAUAAACGCACAUGAGAAUUGG